AAACCUCCCCCGGCCCGGACACCGGAAGGAUUGACAGAUUGAUAGCUCUUUCUUGAUUCGGUGGGUGGUGGUGCAUGGCCGUUCUUAUUUGGUGGAGCGAUUUGUCUGGUUAAUUCCGAUAACGAACGAGACUCUCGCCUGCUAAAUAGGCGUACCUUCUGGUAUCUCGAAGGCCCCCGGCUUCGGUCGGGUGGUUUUUACUACCGACGUACUAACAAAUCUUCUUAGAGGGACAGGCGGCGUCUAGCCGCACGAGAUUGAGCAAUAACAGGUCUGUGAUGCCCUUAUAUGUUCUGGGCCGCACGCGCGCUACACUGAAGGAAUCAGCGUGUCCUCCCUGACCGAAAGGCCGGGGUAACCCGCUGAACCUCUUUCUUGCUAGGGAUUGGGGCUUGCAAUUUUUCCCCAUGAACGAGGAAUUCCCAGUAAGCGCGAGUCAUAAGCUCGCGUUGAUUACGUCCCUGCCCUUUGUACACA
rnacentral:rRNA from 1 species